rnacentral:rRNA from 1 species
UGGGGAAUUUUGGACAAUGGGCGAAAGCCUGAUCCAGCAAUGCCGCGUGUGUGAAGAAGGCCUUCGGGUUGUAAAGCACUUUUGUCCGGAAAGAAAUCCUUGGCUCUAAUACAGUCGGGGGAUGACGGUACCGGAAGAAUAAGCACCGGCUAACUACGUGCCAGCAGCCGCGGUAAUACGUAGGGUGCAAGCGUUAAUCGGAAUUACUGGGCGUAAAGCGUGCGCAGGCGGUUUGCUAAGACCGAUGUGAAAUCCCCGGGCUCAACCUGGGAACUGCAUUGGUGACUGGGCAGGCUAGAGUAUGGCAGGAGGGGGGUAGAAUUCCACGUGUAGCAGUGAAAUGCGUAGAGAUGUGGAGGAAUACCGAUGGCGAAGGCAGCCCCCUGGGCCAAUACUGACGCUCAUGCACGAAAGCGUGGGGAGCAAACAGGAUUAGAUACCCUGGUAGUCCACGCCCUAAACGAUGUCAACUAGUUGUUGGGGAUUCAUUUCCUUAGUAACGUAGCUAACGCGUGAAGUUGACCGCCUGGGGAGUACGGUCGCAAGAUUAAAACUUC